GCCUCUAGCAUGAAGUCAGGCAAGUGA
rnacentral:rRNA from 1 species